rnacentral:sRNA from 1 species
GCUGGGCACUGUGGUGCAUGCCUGUAAUCCCAGCGGCUUGGGAGGCUGAGACAGGAGGAUUGCGAGUUCAAAGCCAGCUUCAGCAAUGGCAAGGCACUAAGCAACUCAGUGAAAACCUGUCUCUA